rnacentral:rRNA from 1 species
GGAUCCCGACUUUCAUUCUGGAUCAUGAUGAACGCUAGCUACAGGCUUAACACAUGCAAGUCGAGGGGCAGCGGGAUUGAAGCUUGCUUCAAUUGCCGGCGACCGGCGCACGGGUGAGUAACGCGUAUCCAACCUUCCGUACACUCAGGGAUAGCCUUUCGAAAGAAAGAUUAAUACCUGAUGGUAUCUUAAGCACACAUGUAAUUAAGAUUAAAGAUUUAUCGGUGUACGAUGGGGAUGCGUUCCAUUAGGUAGUAGGCGGGGUAACGGCCCACCUAGCCAACGAUGGAUAGGGGUUCUGAGAGGAAGGUCCCCCACAUUGGAACUGAGACACGGUCCAAACUCCUACGGGAGGCAGCAGUGAGGAAUAUUGGUCAAUGGACGAGAGUCUGAACCAGCCAAGUAGCGUGAAGGAUGAAGGUCCUACGGAUUGUAAACUUCUUUUAUAAGGGAAUAAACCCUCCCACGUGUGGGAGCUUGUAUGUACCUUAUGAAUAAGCAUCGGCUAACUCCGUGCCAGCAGCCGCGGUAAUACGGAGGAUACGAGCGUUAUCCGGAUUUAUUGGGUUUAAAGGGAGCGCAGACGGGUCGUUAAGUCAGCUGUGAAAGUUUGGGGCUCAACCUUAAAAUUGCAGUUGAUACUGGCGUCCUUGAGUGCGGUUGAGGUGUGCGGAAUUCGUGGUGUAGCGGUGAAAUGCUUAGAUAUCACGAAGAACUCCGAUUGCGAAGGCAGCACACUAAUCCGUAACUGACGUUCAUGCUCGAAAGUGUGGGUAUCAAACAGGAUUAGAUACCCUGGUAGUCCACACGGUAAACGAUGGAUACUCGCUGUUGGCGAUAUACUGUCAGCGGCUUAGCGAAAGCGUUAAGUAUCCCACCCGGGGAGUAUUUACGCACCGGAGCCAGUCUAA